UACGUAGGGGGCAAGCGUUGUCCGGAUUUAUUGGGCGUAAAGAGCGUGUAGGCGGCCAGGUAGGUCUGCUGUGAAAACUCGAGGCUCAACCUCGAGAUGUCGGCGGAAACCAUCUGGCUAGAGUCCGGAAGAGGAGAAUGGAAUUCCCGGUGUAGCGGUGAAAUGCGCAGAUAUCGGGAAGAACACCCGUGGCGAAGGCGGUUCUCUGGGACGGUACUGACGCUGAGACGCGAAAGCGUGGGGAUCAAACAGG
rnacentral:rRNA from 1 species